rnacentral:misc_RNA from 1 species
CCAUUACAACUACCCAAACCAGCCACAAAACCUGUUGAUUUUUUGUUUUAAUGCAAAUUCAAUGAAAACAUUAUAAUCUAACGUGAAAUUGACAAUCUAAUCUAGCAUAAUAAACAUUAUAAUUUUCAUAAAUUAACAUAAGAUGAAUUGGAAGCAUGAGAAAAACAUCACCAUCACAGAGAGGCUUUCUAAGAUGCAUAAUUAAAUAUGAAUUAUACAAUGCAAUCUUCAAUCUAAUUGAGCGUUUUAAGG